UACGAACUGUGCAAACGUUAUUCGGAAUCACUGGGCUUAAAGGGUGCGUAGGCGGCGGGGUAAGUCAGGUGUGAAAUCUCGGGGCUCAACCCCGAAACUGCACUUGAUACUGCCUCGCUUGAGUACUGGAGAGGAGACUGGAAUUUACGGUGUAGCAGUGAAAUGCGUAGAUAUCGUAAGGAAGACCAGUGGCGAAGGCGAGUCUCUGGACAGUUACUGACGCUGAGGCACGAAGGCCAGGGGAGCAAACGGG
rnacentral:rRNA from 1 species